rnacentral:rRNA from 1 species
UACGUAGGGGGCUAGCGUUGUCCGGAUUUAUUGGGCGUAAAGAGCGUGUAGGCGGCCAUGUAGGUCCGGUGUGAAAACUCGAGGCUUAACCUCGAGAUGUCAUCGGAAACCAUUUGGCUAGAGUCCGGAAGAGGAGAGUGGAAUUCCUGGUGUAGCGGCGAAAUGCGCAGAUAUCAGGAAGAACACCAAUGGCGAAAGCAGCUCUCUGGGACGGUACUGACGCUGAGACGCGAAAGCGUGGGGAGCGAACAGG